UCUUUCAUUGAUCAUUCUUCACACUCUUAAAGUGAGGUACAUAGCCCCUAUUUAUAAUACUAGUGACUAGUGAGGCCAUCCCUUUCACAAUUUGAGUUGAAUUUAUCUUCUAGUUCGAAUAGGAUUAAAUAUCCUAAAAUAAAUAUGAUUAAUAAAAAUAUUCUAAAAAUAUCUAAAAUUUUUGAGGAGGUAGAUCUUGACUUCUAUAUCAACUCUGUUUUCUGUCGCUCCGCCUGAUUAUUCUCGAAUAGAGAGCUACACCCAGUCAAAAUCUUACCUAAAAAGAAAUCUUUUGGUUUAACCAGUCCAUUUCGAGGCCUAAACGAUUGAGGUUACCCAAAGUUGUAGAUCUCAAAAAGAUUUUCAAUUUCAAAACAAAAGAUCAUCACAAUCAAGCAUCGUAUGACCAAAUUAUGGCAUCCUAAAGUUUAGCCUAUGACUCGAUUUUUCAAUAUGGCAAAUCUCGCUUCUGAACCCUGUCCAACCUUGCCCAUAAUGGUCAAAGUAUUUUGUAUUGAGUUUGGUGGUCCUAUUGAGUACUCAUAAUGGCCAAGUGUUCAACAUCAAGUCUGGUGAUCUCCUGAAUACUCGUAGUGGCCAAAAUAUUCCACAUCGAGUUUGGUAAUCCUCCUGAAUACUUGUAGUGGCCAAAUUGGUCCUUCUAAAUCUGUCAUAAAAUUAAUGUUCGGUUGGUAAUGUAAGACUGCAAUAGAACUUGUUGGAUAAUUUUGAUGUCUGGCCCUUUAGUGACAAUCAAGCAAAUUAAGGUAAGUUUUGGAAACAUACAAUAUAAGAGCUAAACUUAGUUGGUAUCCUUUUUGAAAGGAGUCUCAAAAGGCAUAAUUACGUGGUGGGCUGGAUGAUCAAAUGUCUAGGUAACCAACUGACUCAGGCCCUUCUAGAAAAUCAAGGAUGCAAGACAUAUUUUGAUUUAGUUACUCCAUGUAACGAAGUUAAGUAGCAUAAAUGGACUGCGCUCGAGCAAUGCAGUUCAUGCUCAAGCCUCAACUCAACUCAACUAAUCUUAAUUCUAAACUAGUUGGUAUUGGCUACAUAAAUUCCUUUCAUCCAUCCUGCUCGACCAGUUUGGGAGCGAAAGAUAUUGAGAUAUCAAGCCUUUUUCUUAGUAUUUUAUUCUAUAUGACUUCGGUCUUUCUCUAUCUAGAUAUCAAAUCACUUAUUCAUACUGGUUCAUACUUCGACUUAUGUUAUAUAAGAUUUUUUGCAUAUAUACCCUCAUAAAUAUAUAAAAUUGCAUAAAUACCCUCGUAAAAUUUCUAUUUGUAUGUAUAUCUUUCUUAUUUUUCGCAUAUGCACCCAUAUCAUUUAACGUCGUUAAAAAAAGUGGAUUAAAAUAAAAAUGACUAAAACACCCUUAUGGGAGAUAUGUAAAAAAAAAUAUAACGGUAUAUACGUAAAUAGCAACUUUAUGAGGGUAUGCAUGCAAUUUUUCAUAUUUAGAAGGAUAUACAUUCAAAAAAUCUAUUAAAAAGAAAUCAAAACUCGACUAAAAUUUGUCGUCUUUUAUGAUUCAAUUGGAUUGACAAGUCAAAAAAAGAUCGAGUCACAUUAUCAAAUUUCUUUUUUAAAAUCUUGACUCAGUCAAGUUGGAAUAUUAU
rnacentral:lncRNA from 1 species